GUUAGGAAUUUUGCGCAAUGGACGAAAGUCUGACGCAGCAACGCCGCGUGGGUGAAGAAGGCCUUCGGGUUGUAAAGCCCUUUUGGCAGGGGAGAAAAAAAUGACAGUACCUGCAGAAGAAGCACCGGCAAACCAUGUGCCAGCAGCCGCGGUAAUACAUGGGGUGCAAGCGUUACUCGGAAUCACUGGGCGUAAAGAGCGCGUAGGCGGCUUGGUAAGUCUGAUGUGAAAGCCCCGGACUCAAUUCGGGAAGUGCAUUGGAUACUGCUAAGCUAGAGUACAGGAGAGGUGAACGGAAUUCCUGGUGUAGAGGUGAAAUUCGUAGAUAUCAGGAGGAACAACAGAGGCGAAGGCGGUUCACUGGACUGUUACUGACGCUGAGGCGCGAAAGCGUGGGGAGCAAACAGGAUUAGAUACCCUGGUAGUCC
rnacentral:rRNA from 1 species